UACGUAGGGUGCAAGCGUUAAUCGGAAUUACUGGGCGUAAAGGGUGCGCAGGCGGUUUUGUAAGUCUGACGUGAAAUCCCCGGGCUCAACCUGGGAAUUGCGUUGGAGACUGCAAGGCUAGAAUCUGGCAGAGGGGGGUAGAAUUCCACGUGUAGCAGUGAAAUGCGUAGAGAUGUGGAGGAACACCGAUGGCGAAGGCAGCCCCCUGGGUCAAGAUUGACGCUCAUGCACGAAAGCGUGGGGAGCAAACAGG
rnacentral:rRNA from 1 species